ensembl:miRNA
GCAAAGCAGCAAUUGUUCUUUGGUCUUUCAGCCAUGACCUGACCUUCUGUCUGUAAGACCAAAGAACUACUUUGCUUGGC